ACUUCUCUGGGAUGUGCGAUUUUCGCUGACGAAACACUCGCCAGCAUGAUGUUGAAUCGCGCUUCGUGUAAAGUCGUGGUGAGCAGGCCCGCCUUGCAGCGGGAAGCCUGAAGCGGCUUUCAGAAGCCGUCCUUGGUUACAGGGGCGAGAUCUUCCGACACGGCAAUCGGCAUCCCGGAGACAGU
rnacentral:other from 1 species